UACGGAGGGUGCAAGCGUUAUCCGGAUUCACUGGGUUUAAAGGGUGCGUAGGUGGGUUAGUAAGUCAGUGGUGAAAUCUCCGAGCUUAACUUGGAAACUGCCAUUGAUACUAUUAAUCUUGAAUACCGUGGAGGUCAGCGGAAUAUGUCAUGUAGCGGUGAAAUGCUUAGAUAUGACAUAGAACACCUAUUGCGAAGGCAGCUAACUACGCGAAUAUUGACGCUGAGGCACGAAAGCGUGGGGAUCAAACAGG
rnacentral:rRNA from 1 species